UACGUAGGCAGCGAGCGUUGUUCGGAAUUACUGGGCGUAAAGAGUGCGUAGGCGGUUGGGCAAGUCUGGUGUGAAAUCUCCCGGCUUAACUGGGAGGGUGCGCCGGAAACUGUUCGGCUAGAGUGUGGGAGAGGAAAGCGGAAUUCCUGGUGUAGCGGUGAAAUGCGUAGAUAUCAGGAGGAACACCUGCGGUGUAGACGGCUUUCUGGACCACUACUGACGCUGAGGCACGAAAGCGUGGGGAGCAAACAGG
rnacentral:rRNA from 1 species